rnacentral:rRNA from 1 species
GACGUAGGGAGCGAGCGUUGUCCGGAUUCAUUGGGCGUAAAGCGCGCGUAGGCGGCCACGCAAGUCGGUUGUGAAAUCCCGGUUGGCUCAACCCCGGGACUGCGUCCGAUACUGCGUGGCUCGAGGCAGGUAGGGGAGAUCGGAAUUCCUGGUGUAGCGGUGAAAUGCGCAGAUAUCAGGAGGAACACCGGUGGCGAAGGCGGAUCUCUGGGCCUGUCCUGACGCUCAGGCGCGAAAGCUAGGGGAGCGA